rnacentral:rRNA from 1 species
AUUGAACGCUGGCGGCAUGCUUUACACAUGCAAGUCGAACGGCAGCGAGGAGAAGCUUGCUUCUCUGUCGGCGAGUGGCGAACGGGUGAGUAUAGCAUCGGAACGUGCCAAGUAGUGGGGGAUAACCAAACGAAAGUUUGGCUAAUACCGCGUAAGCUCUAAGGAGGAAAGUAGGGGACCUAAAUAAGGCCUUACGCUAUUUGAUCGGCCGAUGUCGGAUUAGCUAGUUGGUGGGGUAAUGGCUCACCAAGGCAAUGAUCCGUAGCGGGUCUGAGAGGACGAUCCGCCACACUGGGACUGAGACACGGCCCAGACUCCUACGGGAGGCAGCAGUGGGGAAUUUUGGACAAUGGGGGAAACCCUGAUCCAGCCAUGCCGCGUGUAUGAAGAAGGCCUUAGGGUUGUAAAGUACUUUUGUUAGGGAAGAAAAGCUAGUUUUUAAUAAAAAUUAGUGAUGACGGUACCUAAAGAAUAAGCACCGGCUGACUACGUG